rnacentral:lncRNA from 1 species
AGCAAUCGCAGACGUCCCUUCCCCAGCCAGGCUGCCACCUCGCAGUUCAAUCUCAGACUGCUGUGCUAGCAGUGGGGAAGGCUCCGUGGGCAUGGAAACUGCCGAGCCAGGCACAGUAGAGAAUCACCUUGUCUGCCGGUUGCUAAGACCUUUGGAAAAGUGCAGUAUUUGGGUGAGAGUGUCCUAUUUUUCCAGGUACAGUCUGUCACGUCUUCCCUUGGCUAGGAAAGGGAAAUCCCCCGACCCCUUACACUUUCCGGGUGAGGCAACGCCCCACUCUGCUUCAGCUCACCCUCCAUGGGCUGCACUCACCUUCCAACCAGUCUCAAUGAGAUGAACCAGGUACCUCAGUUGGAAAUGCAGAAAUCACCCGUCUUCUGCGUCAAUCACGCUGAGAACUGCAGACCAGAGCUGUUCCUAUUUGGCCAUCUUGGAACCGGUCUGAGUCUGUUUUAGCCAGAUCAAGUACUUGCAGACACUUGAAGAAGCAUCUUUCUUGUGAUCUCCUGGCUGGUACCCUGAAGUCCUGUUAUGCCAAUGGACCAGCAACCCUCGCAGGUAGGAAUUACUGCUAGAAAGACUAUCCUCUCUGCAGGCAAAUUUCUGGAAGGAUACUAUUUUAUGGGGAAAAAUGUGAACAACUGUAGGUAAUUUCACAGUCUGUAGGGCUUGUCUCCUAUUUGUAAUUUCUUACAUGUUUACUCGUGGUGGAAAUGUGGAGGUGGCUAAGGAACAAGCAGGCCCGCUGUGUUUCAGUGGCUUUCAGAGAAGGUGGCGGGAAAUAGUCUCUUCUCAGCAGCAGCUGAAUCCCAGUGUUAGCAGACGGAGCCUUGUUUCUUGAAAGUACAUUCCCAGGGAUUCCCUUGAAGAAUGUGAGAGAUCAGCUGGAAUGAAACUGGAUGUUUUAGGGUCCUGAGGGAAAUGUAAAUCCAGCAGCUUAUUCUCAAGAUGUGGCUCCAGAACCAGCAGCACUGAUUCUUCUAAAGAGUUGAGAGUGCAUUUUAGCUGUGAUAUCUUUGUACUCUUAAGAAAUCCUCCUCAACAAGACAAAACUUGACCAAGAGCAUUCAGUUGUCUUCCAGAAGGCUCCCUUGAGGACUGGGACUCUUCCUGGAUGCACCCAAUUAAUCUAUUGAAACAAGGACUCGUGAUGGCAGCCCCUCACCUGACAAACUGGAUUUUCCCCAGAGAUCAUUUGUAAUGUUUUUCCUGAAUCUUAUUUGUGUUUCCCUAUUAGCAAUGUUAUGUAUUUCUAUAUCGCAAAUCCUAAGUGCCGCCUGUAGAACCUAACCUCCAUUUAUAGCAUGGAACACACAGCCCAUCACGUAUCCUUGCCCUGGCCUUCAGCCUCUGAAUAUUUUAAUAAAAAUCACUCUUUCCUCCUUAA